rnacentral:rRNA from 1 species
CCUACGGGCGGCAGCAGUGGGGAAUAUUGGGCAAUGGAGGCAACUCUGACCCAGCAACGCCGCGUGAAUGAUGAAGGUCUUCGGAUUGUAAAGUUCUUUUCUACGGGAAGAAGAAAGUGACGGUACCUUAGGAAUAAGCCUCGGCUAACUACGUGCCAGCAGCCGCGGUAAUACGUAGGAGGCAAGCGUUCUCCGGAUGGACUGGGGGUAAAGGGUGCGUAGGUGGAUUGACAAGUUAGUAGGGAAAUUCCGGGGCUCAACUUCGGAACUACUGCUAAAACUGUUGGUCUUGAGUGCAGGAGAGGCAAGCGGAAUUCCUAGUGUAGCGGUGGAAUGCGUAGAUAUUAGGAAGAACACCAGUGGCGAAGGCAGAUUACUGGACUGUAACUGACGCUGAGGCACGAAAGCGUGGGGAGCAAACAGGAUUAGAUACCCGAGUAGUC